GUUCAAUAUCAACGACAAGUUGUAGAAAUCCUCAUUCGGUCAGAGCCUAAUCAAAACAAGAGUCAAGACUAUAAGCUAACAUAUAUUUACCUCUUGUCAAAACCACGAUUAUCUGCCAUUGCUUCACUUCACACGACAGAAUGCCUAAGCUCGAUGUUCAGCCACAAUCGAUCAGUUGUGAUAGCUCAAGCUCAGUUCAACGUUCAACAGGUUAUACGUGUAUGAAAGAGAAAUCAUAUUAUGUCGAGUUUUAACAUUUUAGUAUGACGUCAUUCAUUUGUGGUUAUGACUAGUUAUAAGUUAGUGCUGCAAGUUUCAGAAAGGCAAAUUCUUAACAUAUAUUAAUAUUUUUAUUUCCGAAUUUGUUUUGACGUUCAUGUCAGAGCCACACGCCCACAGAAUUAAAAACAUUACCAAUUAUCACCAAUUGUGAUUAUAAUGACGCAAGUAUCAGGAUCACGCUGGAACGAAGAACUUGACCGGUCAUGCACCACAAAAUUAUUCAGACUCUUACUAAAAUUUUGAAUGUUUUAAGAUUCAUCUACAGUAAUCG
rnacentral:lncRNA from 1 species